CUGGGAGAAGAGUGGUGAAGA
rnacentral:miRNA from 1 species